rnacentral:lncRNA from 1 species
AAGAAAAUAAGAAAAUAAAUAAUGCCUAUUAGUUACUUUGUGGGCGCCAUCUUUAUUGUGUUUUGUGAUUCCAAUCAUGACCACUAAGUGUUGUGCUCCAGGGUGUAGAACUUGCUAUGACAACCACAACAGUCUGGCUAACCAAAGAGAUCCAUUCCAAGAGAAACAGAUCUGAAGAAAACAGGCUAAGCGCCAUCCAAAAGUAGAAAGCUGUGUUCCUUGCAUUUCAACGACUCUGAUUUUAACUGUACCUCAAACCAGAUGUAGUACCAUCCCUAUAGCCAAACUGCCCCAACUACCACUCAACUCCUAUAGCGUCAUCAAUACCAACUCAAGUUGCGACCACGUCACGUAGGGCUCAACAGUUCAAUGACCUACUACAGCAUUUGGAAUUUGAACUCUUGAAUUAGGAGUCCGUCCUCUCUGUGGAAGAACUUGGUGACAAAUUGGCCAAGAGACGCUUCCAUCAGCCUUCAUCCUCAUCACAAAACCAAGUGUUGUCCAUUUGAAGCUAUCCCAUGAUGAGAAAUUGGGCCCCCAAGUAGUAGCCAGCAUUCAGUUUGAGACAGAUAUGUCAUUCAAAAUGUACCACUCUGGCGUGUUGAUCGACAAAAAGGCAGUGUCACACAUCACCUCAGAAGGCAAGGUCAACACUGUGAUUCAAGACAUCAAUUUGACUUCCAUUCUAGGAGCAAAAGAAGAAUUGAAUCAAGGAGAGACCUGGAAAGACAUUCUCAAAAAGUUAGCUUUUAAGCUCUCUUUCAUUCGAGCUCAAAUAGCUCUCCUCUUCACCAAACCAACAGCUACAAAAUAUUUUAACCACAAACUUGGCCUCUCUUUCUGAAGAGAUUUAGUCGACUUUCUCAUCGAGUGGCAAAGCACCUAGAGAAACCUUCCUAGCAACAACGUACCUUGCCGCAGCAGAUCUGGCAGAGGAUCUUCUCCUAGAUGAAGACUUCUACUAUGUAAUCCUUGGCAUGUUCCAGUCCGAUCCCAACGAAAGAAAGUUCGGCUGGUACAAACAACUAAGUGGAGGUAUCUACUACAUCAGUGUGAGACAGAUCCUGGAAGCGGAGAAAAAUAUUUGUAUUCUGAGUCUUCUCAAAUUCUCAGUAUGACUACUUCAGAAAUUAAAGCUCUGCUGGAUGAAGGCUGAGCUCAUUUUGACUAACUGGCAACCAGACGACCUCCAGGAACUAGCUUCCAAGUGAGAAAGUAAUUCUUUGAAGAAGAAGAUCAGCUGUACAUUAUGCCAAGAGUUAACGGUCAUCAGAGACACACCUCCGGACUCAAUAACCUUCGAUAGCACAACUAAUCAGCAUGUAAACAUAAAAGAGUUCAUCCAUAAUGAGCAGAGGGGGGGGUUGUCGACUCCAUCUUACCUUCUCUACCUCUCCUGUCUUUAUGCUCACUCCAUGUUCUCUUACAUCACAGCUACUCCUGAAGAGAAAGACAGUUUACAUGGCAGCCCAAAUCUUAGAGCUUCAUUUUUUGCCACAUUCAUUGACAAGAUGCCCGACAGUUUAAACUCUGACAUUAUUGACGUCGUGGGAGUAAAGUACGAGGAAGGACACUCCUGGUCAGGUUUUCUUCAAACAAUUUCAUUCCCUUUGUUUAAUGUCAUGAGUAAAAAUAUAAGUGCUAAACUGAAAGAUGACAUCCAACUUUUAACAAAAAAGAGCAUGACAGAUAAGAAUUCAGAAGCUAACAGAAAAAAAAGCUAAAUAUCAAUCAAAACCUUCUGACUUGUAGACUUUGACCAACUUUGUACGUUUUGAUAGCGCCUUUUCUUUUUUAUAUGUUUGCAAUGUUUAUUUUGAUUAAAGUAAUAAUAAAAUACCACUUCUAUUA